AUUGAACGCUGGCGGCAGGCCUAACACAUGCAAGUCGAGCGGCGCGGCGAACGGGGAAGUAAUGCCUAGGAAUCUGCCUGGUAGUAAGGGAUACAGUCCGGAAAAGGGCGCUAAUACCGCAUACUAUCAGAUGAGCCUAGGUCGGCUUAGCUAGUUGGUGGGGUAAAGGCUUACCAAGGCGACGAUCCGUAACUGGUCUGAGAGGAUGAUCAGUCACACUGGAACUGAGACACGGUCCAGACUCCUACGGGAGGCAGCAGUGGGGAAUAUUGGACAAUGGGCGAAAGCCUGAUCCAGCCAUGCCGCGUGAAUGAAGAAGGCCUUCGGGUUGUAAAGUUCUUUCGGUAGCGAGGCGUUAACUACAGAAGAAGCACCGGCUAACUCCGUGCCAGCCGCCGCGGUAAUAC
rnacentral:rRNA from 1 species